ensembl:lncRNA
UUGGCUGCAGUGAAACAUUUCCUCUGCUUCUCUUAACCACUGAACCAGGUUUCCCAGAGACUAUGGGUUGAGGAGGAAUUGGAAGUUUGUCGGCUUAGACCUGGUGUCAUUCCAUCAGUAUUAAACUUCCAGGCUCAUCUUGGAAGAGUACGUGCCAGAAAGAAAAUGACCAAGCAGCCUUGAGAUCUUAGGCAGCGUCUCCCUGAGACCAAAGAACUACAGACUCUUCACAACCUGCUCAAACUCUUGGUACAGGACCUCACCACACGGGUCAAGAAGGUUUCUGUCUCAUUUCUACUCUGAAGCUCACCUUCUCCUGCUCAAACUGCUGACAAAUGUUUCUGCUGCUCUAAAGUCUGGUCUCCAGAACUUCCUAAAAACUCUCAA